rnacentral:tRNA from 1 species
GCCGGAAUAGCUCAGUCGGUA